rnacentral:rRNA from 1 species
CCUAGGGGGGGCAGCAGUGGGGAAUAUUGGACAAUGGGGGGAACCCUGAUCCAGCCAUGCCGCGUGUGUGAAGAAGGCCUCGGGUUGUAAAGCACUUUCAGUGAGGAAGAACGCCUGGUGGUUAAUACCCAUCAGGAAAGACAUCACUCACAGAAGAAGCACCGGCUAACUCCGUGCCAGCAGCCGCGGUAAUACGGAGGGUGCGAGCGUUAAUCGGAAUUACUGGGCGUAAAGCGCGCGUAGGUGGCUUGAUAAGCCGGUUGUGAAAGCCCCGGGCUCAACCUGGGAACGGCAUCCGGAACUGUCAAGCUAGAGUGCAGGAGAGGAAGGUAGAAUUCCCGGUGUAGCGGUGAAAUGCGUAGAGAUCGGGAGGAAUACCAGUGGCGAAGGCGGCCUUCUGGACUGACACUGACACUGAGGUGCGAAAGCGUGGGUAGCAAACAGGAUUAGAUACCCUGGUAGUC